CUCAAAACCCACCCACAGCUCCGACUUAAUCUUCUGCAAUCCUAUGUUCUCUAAACAAAUGGAUGUAUAGCAAGUUAGCAACGUGUGCAUGACAGUAACUUUUAGAAUGGAAAAACGUUUUAGCACAAUUUCAGCAGCAACGGCAUGUUAAAAAAUCUAAGCAUGUGUGUGGUCUUGACUUUUCUUCAAUUUCUAUGGCUGUCGGUAAUCUUUCCAGUUUGUAUAUGUUGCUUCGAGCACAGCAGAACUCAUAUAGAUUUCUGCAAACUCCUUUACUGAAUGGAUACACCCGCUCAGGAAUUCCCCUUAAAUAUG
rnacentral:misc_RNA from 1 species